CGAAAUUCCUUGUCGGGUAAGUUCCGACCUGCACGAAUGGCGUAACGACUUCGCCGCUGUCUCAACCACGGACUCGGCGAAAUUGCACUACGAGUAAAGAUGCUCGUUACGCGCGGCAGGACGGAAAGACCCCGGGACCUUCACUAUAGUUUGGUAUUGGUGUUCGGUACGGCUUGUGUAGGAUAGGUGGGAGACUGUGAAGCGCUCACGCCAGUGGGUGUGGAGUCAACGUUGAAAUAC
rnacentral:rRNA from 1 species